rnacentral:lncRNA from 10 species
AUAGUUACUUGGGACAACAGUUUUAGCAGGGCUCUCUUUCUCCUUUCCUGAUCUCUCUGUUAAGCUGCCUGGCUCAUUUGAUAUCACAUCCAAAUUAUCAGCUGAUUGCUCUAUUGUUUUGGACAAUGCCCUGAAGCAUACCAAAAUGUGUCUGGAAUUGGUGGGUUCUUGGUCUUACUGACUUUAAGAAUGAAGUUGCGGACUUUUGCGUAAGAAGAAAGCCCAAAGACAAAACCAGAGGCAACUGGCUGCUGCAUCGCCCACCUAGUGGCAGUAGUGUGAGCUAUGGACAAAAGAUCUAAGUCUCCAGGACAAAGAGUUGUGCAGCUGCUCAUUUUCCUGUUGACUUCUGUCUAAGACUUGGAGAUGUUUGUAAGAUUGGGACCUACCUACAGAGCUCCAGAGGGAAGUGAGAAGGAUGUUCACUUGCUGGUGAGAGAAGGAGCUGGUUCCAUCCAUUACGCAGUCCCCUGGGAGCGCUAAAUGCAACUUUAUCUCAACGGGGAGUGGACGAUGAGCAGGACGUCGCUAGAGGGAAAGAGCCUCACUUCCCGUUUCCUUUGGCAGCGCCCUUUU